UUUAACUAAAAACCAAACACACCACCUCCCCUUGACCUCCUAUUCCCAGCGGCCUCUUCCUGUCAUCGUCUGCCCCUUCUCUCUCUCACGCUCUUCCCCCCAAGUCCAUCCUGCAGCCCCCGACCGGCCCUGUACCCAUCCCCCCGUUCCCCUCACUCCUGAGAAAACUCCAAACAAACUCUGAGCCACGGAGACUUGGAGCGACAAGAGACCCCUCCCCCUUCUCUGUCAUCCCUUCCCGGAGGAGCAGAGGACACGGGCCCACCCCAGCUUCCGGCUGGACCAUGGGAUGAGGGUGACCCUGGUCCUGGAGACGCCCCCACUCCCUGUCUGAGCUGGGACAAGACUGAACGCUGCUGCUACUCUGCUCCUUCCUGUCGUGUCCAGUCCAGCUGUAGGCCAGAAGGACCAGCGGGGACCACAGAGGGACAGAGGCUGAGUCUGAGCGGCCCCAGGCUGGGGUCUUGCUAAGUGACUAAGUUGCCUGGGCUGGCCUCAAACUUGCCAUCUUCUUGCCUCAGCCUCCCAGGGUCUCAAAGCGAUCCUCCCAUCUCAGCCUCCGAGUGCUGGGAUCACAGAUGUGCACCACCACGCCAGCUGCCUCUUGAUUGGGCUGCAGAAUCCAUUCACAUCCACUGUAAUUGCUAUUAAGGUUAAGG
rnacentral:lncRNA from 1 species